AGUGAACGCUAGUGGCGUGCUUAACACAUGCAAGUCGAACGGACGAUAUUUGUGCUUGCACAAAUAAAGUUAGUGGCAAACGGGUGAGUAAUACAUGAGAAUUUUCCUUGCAGUACGGAAUAACUAUUGGAAACAGUAGCUAAUACCGUAUAUUGCCGAGAGGUGAAAGAUUUAUCGCUGCAAGAUAAGCCCAUGCAAGAUUAGCUUGUUGGUAAGGUAAUGGCUUACCAAGGCUACGAUCUUUAGCUGGUUUGAGAGGAUGAUCAGCCACACUGGAACUUAGACACGGUCCAGACUCCUACGGGAGGCAGCAGUGGGGAAUAUUGGACAAUGGGGGCAACCCUGAUCCAGCCAUGCCGCGUGUGUGAAGAAGGCCUUUUGGUUGUAAAGCACUUUAAGCAGUGAAGAAGACCUAACGGUUAAUACCCGUUAGCGAUGACAUUAGCUGCAGAAUAAGCACCGGCUAACUCUGUGCCAGCCGCCGCCGUAAUAC
rnacentral:rRNA from 1 species